rnacentral:lncRNA from 1 species
AUGUUAGGAUUACUUAGGUAAAUACUCAAUGUUACUUCUCAUGGUCCCAUCUUCUUUUAAAACAGCUGGAAUCUCAAAGACCUCCUGGAGCCUCACAGGGUGUUGCCAAUCAUCUUGGAAAUGCAUGAAUUGCACUUUUGAAGAACUUCCUCUAAUCUUAAUGACUUUGUGAGUCUAAAUGUCUACUACUAGGAUGCGGAGAGUUCUGGGUAAAGUGGCAGAGCAGUUACCACCUGGGUGUGGGGCAGUGUGAAGGAUGCAAGGGCGGGAUCUGUUCUAGCGCUCAGAUGCAGAUGGUGGGAAGGGAGUUCUCAUUGCUGUGUGAUAAUGGAACCCUAGGUGUGAAAUAGAGACCUUGCACUGAUUUCACAACAAACCUACUUGAAAUCUGCUCACAUCCUGGCAAACCAGAAGAAUUCAUAGAAACUCACAUUUGUUAAACAGAGUAGAAAAUAUUUGGAGAUGUGAGCAAAUAGUUCUGCCCGGAAGAUUUUUUUCUUCUUUUUAAGUUGAAAAUGAUAGAGUAAUGAGUUAAUAGAUUAUUUAUAUUGUUUCAAAGGUAAUGAUUUACCUGGGUGAGGAUUCUGUUUGGGGGGACUGCUGGGUUUUCAUUUUUAUGUUCUUGAAAUCAGCCAAUUGGAAAGUCAUGAAAAAGUUGUACCAAGACCUAUAUUUCUUUCGUUUUGAUUAGUUUAGACACAGUCAUUUUCCAGGAAAGUUUUGUUUUCUAAAAAAAUCAGUCCAUCUACUCUGUUCAGAUGCUGUUGUGACCCCAUCUCUGAGUGAGUGUGGGCGGUUGGGGUGGAGUAGGUCAGGUUGGUCCCCUAUUCUGCCGCCCACUGACAGUUUUUCUUCUCUUCCUCAGGGAGCCAACCUUGCCCUUCGGGGCCUUUAUGCCAAACAAGCCUACAUUGUCUGCAUCAAAAGGACAGAAGAUUACAGAAUAAAAACAGAAAAAGGAGAAGAAGAUUUUCAUUUGGAGAAGAAGAGAAUUGAUUCAUCAUGAUUGGACAAUGGUGAAUGAGACUCAGGAGCUGUGUCUGCUUCCUGACUUCUUACUUGACCAGGGAGGAUGUGAAUGGUUGUGUGACGGGGGUUGAGUGACUCUACUGUGGGAACAAUUCCCAGGAAUGAUCUAUCUUCCUCUCUCACUGAGUGUCUACUGUGUAUUUUUAUGGCACUAAUUACUACAUGGGGGCCCUGACAGGUCACAUUAGUCCGGGGAGAACACAAGAAUCAAGGAAAACAUUGUCAUAUCAUUUUCCUGAGGUUUGCUGGUGAAAUUUUGGAACUUCUUUUCCUUUGGACCUCAAAAUAUUAACUGCCAUGUUGUAUUAAUAUAAUGUACUGAUAUUCCUUGGCAUGAUUAAUUUUUUCCUACUAAAUUUGAAGCCUUUGAAAGCUUUGUGUCUUGGGAUCAAGACUAUAGGCCUGUUAUAUUUUUUCUCAGGCUUGCCUAAAAAAUGUUUAAGUAUGAGAAUGAAAUAAUAUUGAUGCUAUCUCUCUAUACACAGAGAUUCAGCUUAGGGGAGAGAUAAAUGUUUGUUCUUAACAACCAGCUCCAAACCAGGACCAAGCACCCCCCGCCCCCCCAUAUACAAAUCACUUCCCACAUUCCCAUAUGAUUGCACACUUGACUAUCACGGUGCUCAGUACUGUGAUUUUUUAAUUUAUUUUAUUAAACAUUUUUUUAAGAUUUUAUUUAUUUAUUCAUGAGAGAGACACACAGACACACACAGAGGCAGAGACAUAGGCAGAGGGAGAAGCAGGCUCCAUGCAGGGAGCCUGACAUGGGACUUGAUCCAGGGUCUCCAGGAUCACACCCUGGGCUGAAGGCGGUGCUAAACCGCUGAGCAACCUGGGCUGCCCAGUACUGUGAUUUUUAAAUUAUUUAUCUGUCUGAGUUUUCUUUCCUGGAUUAUAACUCCAAAAAGUUAGGAAGUUGGUCUUGGAUUUUCACUGUGUCUUCUUCAAACCUCAGUAUAGGGCAAAGCAUAUGGUAAUUGCUUAUUGAAUGAAUCAAUAAUCCAUUGAAUAAUCAUUUUAUUUUGUUCUCACAUUGCUUCUGAACUCGAUCAACAUCAGAGUCAGCCAAAUGCUUUUAUAAGCUAUUUUAAUUCUAUAUCAAGUUACUAAAACUUAAACAAUUUUCUGUUAAAAAAUAAAAUGUUUGUUUUUGCUGUGCUUCUCUUCA